ensembl:snoRNA F17C11.25 ncRNA
UGUAAUGUCAGUUUCAGUGAAGGAGACACUCACUCAACGAAAUGCUUACCUUCGUGAUGAAGCUGAGCGUCUUUCCAAAGAGUGCGAAGUCAUCCGUCGGCUAAUUUUCGACAAACUUGGCAAAA